rnacentral:snRNA from 1 species
AUGCUUGCUUCGGCAGCACAUAUGCCAAAAUUGGAAUGAUACAGAGAAGAUUUGCAUGGUUCCUGUGCAAAGAUGAACAAUUUCCAACAUACUUGUAUUUU